rnacentral:lncRNA from 1 species
UCACUUUCCAUAAUAUUGGCCAAUCCUGACUUACAGUUAGUUUGAAUGUAUGAAUUCUCAGAUCAUUUUAAGGGACUUAGGUUAUAAGAAAAACAAUUCAAACUGGUAGUUCCUGUUCAUCAGAACCUCAGUUGACACCAUACAUUUCUAAUGAUCAUCCCAUUCUGGGAGAAUCUGUAACCCUCACAAUUUAACGUCAUUAACAGCAAUUUUCAAAUUCCAGAGGUGUCUCGGGUGAAUUCCCAGGGUCAGUGAAUGACACGUCCCCAGAGUCAUUUACUGUUAGCUUGAGAGCUAUUUGCUUGGCGUGCAAAUAAUUCCCUGGCUCCUGACUGAAGAGAGGCCAAUUCUUCUUUCUCAGGAAGGCCCUUAAAUUCUGUUUAUAAAUCUUCUUUUGUCAUAAAAUCCAGACACAGAGAGCCUCCAGUUGCACUCUGGCUGCUUCCUAAAUGAAGGAAAAUCAAGGACAGGGCGUGUGGAUAGUUCAGAUAACCGGACUCCAAGCACUGCCCACCUGGAACCACUAGAACCAGCAGUCAAUGAGAGAACGAGGAAGAAGCACUGCAGGGAAGAGAGCUGAAGAUUACAUUCUAGAGCCUGCCCCCUUCGAAGAGCAGCAGCCUGGCUUCAGGUGGCUACAGCAGCAGGUAAGGAAAGACUGGUUGUUCUUACCUUUUGUUUUUCAUAAAAUGUAACUUUAAGGCAAAUUUAAUGUUAAAUGUCAGUAUAUUAGACAUAGUAGAAUCACCAAAGGACUUAAAUAAUAUGAUUCCAUCUGUAAACCACCCUUGACUAAUGAGAGGAUUGGUUCUGUUAUUGGAGAACCUGUCUCAUGAUUUCUUUUGGGGGCAGGAGGUGCCUAUAUUAUAGUCAUUGCAGUUAAUGCCAGGAAGAAACUCAUGUCUUGAUGAAUUAGACACCAUUUGUGUUCUCUGGAUUUUCAUUUGUAGUGUGCAUGUUUAUAUAUAAUAUAUAUAUAUGUAUGUAUGUAUGUAUUCUGUACUCUAGACACACAGUCACAUUUGUUAAGAACAUUCACAAAAACACAGAUGAAUAUCUGAUCAGAGG